GACGAACGCUGUUGGCGUGCCUAACACAUGCAAGUCGAGCGACGUGAGUACUACGGUACGAACUUAGCGGCGGACGGGUGCGUAACGCGUGGACAAUCUACCCUGUAGACCGGGAUAACACCUCGAAAGGGGUGCGAAUACCGGAUAAUGUCGAGAAGCGGCAUCGCUUUUCGAAGAACGGAGAGAAACCGCUAUAGAAGGAGUCCGCGUCCCAUUAGCUAGGUGGUGAGGGUAACGGCCCACCAAGGCGACGAUGGGUAGCCGGCCUGAGGGGGUGAACGGACACACUGGAACUGAGACACUGUCCAGACUCCUACGGGAGGCAGCAGUGGGGAAUAUUGAGCAAUGGGGGAAACCCUGACACAGCAACGCCGCGUGAGCGAAGAAGGCCUUCGGGUUGUAAAGCUCAAUAGUAUGGGAAGAUAAUGACGGUACCAUACGAAAGCCCCGGCUAACUACGUGCCAGCCGCCGCCGUAAAAC
rnacentral:rRNA from 1 species